GGGAGAGGAAGGUGUACACUUCAUGUAAGCGAAACAAGCAGUGGAAAGCUUGGGAAACUUAUUUGCUCCAUUUCUUAGCCUGGUAAUCCUGAACUGAAGGCCUCAGCAGUCCUGUAUCAUUGACAUCUCCUUCUAAGAUGCUACAUGGACACCCAGCACACAGUGCCUCAGUAAUAUGGGGAGUGUCUCCUGUGCAGUGUUGAUGCGGACAGCAAAAUACAGCUGUUAGAUCUUGGCAGAGUAAUGCCCAUGUGAAGAGAAAUCAAGCCCAUGGCUCCUUCGUGGGCCAGAUGGCCUCUCAGACCUGAGGGUCGGGCUCUGAUCUCGUUGCCACAAGGCUGGAUCCACCGCAGUGUCACGUCACCCUUCGUCUUGCUUGAGUCCCUCAGCUGAUGCAGGCACUGGAUGCUUCCUGCAGCAUGAAACCAGGACUCUUGAGGGCUGCGGAGGAGCUGGCUGUUCCCCUCUAGGGCAGCCACAGUCACUCCCACCAGGGAAAACAUCAGCAUGGAGAAUACGGGAAUGUUGAACUCCUUCAGGAGUGGGCAUUUGUCUGCCAACUCCCUGCCACCAUGUGAACUUAAUGCAGAGGAGGAAUUCAAGGAAGGAAAGGUUCCCAGCCAGGAAGCACAGAUGUGCUGGUGAGAAGACAGCCGUGCCAAUCCCAGCAGACAGCUCCAUGCAUGUACGGAGCGAACAUGAAGCAAAUCCUUGAACGAGGCUUCCCCGAGCCAUGCUGGUGGCUCAGCAACUGCAGCUUGGAGCCACCGUGCUGCUGAUAGCUCGGUGACAGUUUCACAGGCUGUCAGUGACCGUCGUGCCUGAGUGGGCCAGCUGAAGGGUAGAAAUCUUGACAGAACACCACAACCCUACCAGAUCUCGACGUCUGAACAAAAUGAAUGCAGAAACCCACUGAAAGCAGAGAGGGGGCUGAUGCUGGCAUUGAUAGGCAGCAGGCUGUGCCUCUGCAGCUUCUGGUUCCUGGUCACCCCAUCCUGCAGCCGCAGAGAUCUGGAGUGUUUCACCCAGGUGACAGAGGCCACCAGCAAGAAACAAAUAAGAGAGAUGACAAAGUACUCCUGAAUGCCACUGUCCAGCCAGUUCUAAAAGUGAAGGGUUGUGCUUGGCAUUACACAAUUUGUUUCUAGGUACAUCUACAUGAGCAUUUCAGCUGUGGUCAUCAGUACUUUUAUGAAGCAUGCAGUUCCAGCACGCAUUGCUGCAUGGCCUCAGAAGCUGGAUUUGGGGCAAGGUGAACCGGGAGAUGCCCUGUUUUACCCACCGCAGCACAGUGAGCCCAAGUGAUGGGAAGAGAGUUUGAAUGGAAGCCACUGUCUGGAGCACUGCUGUGGUAUCAAUCCAUUACCCCUGCCUCUGCAUACUGCAGAUUGCAGAAUUUCAUUCGCUAAGACCUGUGUGGAGCCUGAUAACUUUUGUUUAACUACAUAAAUCCAUAAAAGUGUUUAUUCUUGACUUGAAGACACAAAUAACCUAUUGCUUUCCUGGGCCAUUUCUCCUAUUGUUUGACUACCUUUGUAUUGAAAAAGAAAUCUGCAUUUUAAUCUUAAACAUAAUUUUGUUUCAGGAGCAGCUUCACUGGAAGUUAUUAUGCUCCUUCUUUUGAACCAAAUGUUUUUUUAGUGAACCAAACCCUCUCUGCUUGUGGAUCUUAAUAUACCUUUGCAGUUCAAUAAGUGGUUCGACUUCUGUCAACUUCAGCCUGCCAGAUCAUUUCUCGGUCCCCGAAAUCAUGGAUCCUCUUUGCUGCGCGUGUUAGAAGAGAAGAGCUCUGCAAGGUCCGGGAGCAGGCUGCCGUCGAAGGCAUGAGGAAAAUGGCAUCAAAAGAGGUAUUGGGAGUAACUGCUGAAGUCUCUAGUGCUACAGCAAUGAAAUACUGGAAUUGGGUGUCUGAAAUAAAUCUGUUUCAACUGAGCUCUGGCUCAAAAGCAGGUUACUGUGGCUUAAUGAAUUAUCCUGUGUUCGCUGAACAACAUGUGUCCUUACAUAAAAGAAAACCAUACUGUCUGAGUCGUGUGGCUACAGCUGAGGACCGAGGCUGCUGUAACAGCGGUGACAGAGCUGCGAACAAAAGUUCCAAGGAAAUAGAAGCUUCAGAGGAGGCUGUUGGCAGAAUGUGACCUUUCAGAGAAAUGCAGCCCCAUACCUGACAGUUUAGGGCUGCUCAGGCACGGCACACGUUGCAGCGAUGCUGGCGGGGGCUCAGCUGACGGUGGGACCUUCCAGCUAACGUUGGACACAAAGAGCAACUGACCUCAUGUCUCAAGGUGACAACUCCAGUGGGGCUCAAGUGCCCACUGCUAUUUAUUAGGUGCAUUUUUUACAGAGCUUCCAAAACGUUUUGUUACUGGCUUUUGCCUUUUGCGCCCUGGUGUGAACAACUGGUCUGUGGGGCUGAGCAGGAGCAACAGCUGGGGUUUUACAGUUUGAUUAUACCAUUUACUCACACUUCUUCGGUUGAGUGCAUUAUGCUGCGUCCUGCAAAGAGGCACAAUUGCUCUUGCUGCAGAAGGUAAAGCAAAUCAGACAUGUCAGUCUCCCUUGUUGCUCAACACAGCCACUAAUGACUGCAGCAUAUGUAGCUGCUUCCCAGGCCACUAGGAGCUCGAUGCAUCUGUUACUCCUGCGGGAGCAAAGCCCUGAUUGUCAAUACCAUCAUCCCCAUGCUCUUUAGUCAGCAGAACCAUGGUGAUGUUAGCCCUCGUGUUAGCUGGUCCCAGGGUGGCAGCUCAAGAAGGAUUGUGUUGGAGAGGGAGCGCUGGGAAACCUAUGGAGUAUUAGGUAGCAGCUGGGGACCAUGACACACUCAUCUGUAAUACACAAAUGAUGUAAGCACCUUGCAGAAAUCCCAGCCCAGAAAUAAAAUGGUUGCAAAUUGCAGAUGUUAUAUUAA